GACUAGCAGCAGAAGAGACAGACUGUUCUGGGGAAAUGGCUAAGGACAGUCUACCUGUGGAGGGCGUAGAAGGCAGAGCCAGCAGAUUCACUGGGUACAACUGCCCAGUGUUACUGAAUGGGGUCCAGGAGGUCACCAUCCUGAGAGGGGGUUCUUGUUUCUCUUACAGGAUACAGCAUGUUUGCUUUGGGCAUCGGGGCCUUGAUCUUUGGCUACUGGAGAAUAAUGAGGUGGAACCGGGAGCGUAGGCGCCUGCUGAUCGAGGACUUGGAGGCCAGGAUCGCCCUCAUGCCACUCCUCCAGGCAGAGAAGGACCGCAGGACCCUGCAGAUUCUUCGGGAGAACCUGGAGGAGGAGGCUAUCAUCAUGAAAGAUGUGCCCAACUGGAAGGUGGGGGAGUCUAUGUUCCAUACCACACGAUGGGUGCCACCCCUCAUCGGCGAGCUUUAUGGGUUACGCACCAAGGAGGAGAUGGAGAACGCCAACUUCGGCUUCACCGGGUACACUUAGGGCCUGAGCCGACGUGCAUAAUAAAGAAUAGUCAAAU
rnacentral:lncRNA from 1 species